CAGUGACAGUGGUGACUGCGUGUGCAUGCGUGGCGGAGGAGGUGGCGUAUCAGUGACAGUGGUCACUGCGUGUGCGUGCGUGGCGGAGGAGGUGGCGUAUCAGUGACAGUGGUGACUGCGUGUGCAUGCGUGGUGGAGGAGGCGGCGUAUCAGUGACAGUGGUGACUGCGUGUGCGUGCGUGGCGGAGGAGGCGGCGUAUCAGUGACAGUGGUGACUGCGUGUGCGUGCGUGGCGGAGGAGGUGGCGUAUCAGUGACAGUGGUGACUGCGUGUGCGUGCGUGGCGGAGGAGGUGGCGUAUCAGUGACAGUGGUGACUGCGUGUGCGUGCGUGGCGGAGGAGGUGGCGUAUGAGUGACAGUGGUGACUGCGUGUGCGUGCGUGGCGGAGGAGGUGGCGUAUCAGUGACAGUGGUCACUGCGUGUGCGUGCGUGGUGGAGGAGGCGGCGUAUUAGUGACAGUGGUGACUGCGUGUGCAUGCGUGGUGGAGGAGGUGGCGUAUGAGUGACAGUGGUGACUGCGUGUGCGUGCGUGGCGGAGGAGGUGGCGUGUCAGUGAGAGUGGUGACUGCGUGUGCGUGCGUGGCGGAGGAGGUGGUGUAUCAGUGACAGUAGUCACUGCGUUCAUACGCGUGGAGGAGGCGAAACGUCAGUGACAGGGCUCAUUGUAUGGAUGGGUGGUGUUUGAUGCAGCCUCCUAAGCCAUGGAUGCAUUUACAAAUAGCCCCUAUUGGUUAAGCACAGUGGGACCCUGGGAGUUGAAUGCCACAACCCAAACAGGAUUGGGAUCUUGAGUUUAGGAUCUUCAGACUCCUUUAGUUCUGGUCCCCUACAA
rnacentral:lncRNA from 1 species